GACGAACGCUGGCGGCGUGCUUAACACAUGCAAGUCGAACGCUGAACCCGCUUCGGUGGGGGAUGAGUGGCGAACGGGUGAGUAACACGUGGGCAACCUGCCCCCGGCUCUGGGAUAACUCCAAGAAAUUGGGGCUAAUACCGGAUGUGACCGCUGGCCGCAUGGUCUGGUGGUGGAAAGGGUUUCCGGCUGGGGAUGGGCCCGCGGCCUAUCAGCUUGUUGGUGGGGUAGUGGCCUACCAAGGCGACGACGGGUAGCCGGCCUGAGAGGGUGACCGGCCACACUGGGACUGAGACGCGGCCCAGACUCCUACGGGAGGCAGCAGUGGGGAAUAUUGCGCAAUGGGCGGAAGCCUGACGCAGCGACGCCGCGUGGGGGAUGACGGCCUUCGGGUUGUAAACCUCUUUCAGCAGGGACGAAGCGCAAGUGACGGUACCUGCAGAAGAAGCACCGGCCAACUACGUG
rnacentral:rRNA from 1 species